AGAGUAGGCGCAGGCGGUUGCAGAUCAGUCAUAGUUACUGGUUUGAGGAAAGUCCGGACUCCCGAAAGACCAAACUUGCUGGAUAACGUCCAGUGCGAGCGAUCGUGAGGAUAGUGCCACAGAAAGAUACCGCCAGGACAAUUAAGAAUUAAAAAUUAAAAAUGUAAAAUGAGUAAUUUUUAAUUUUUAAUUUUACAUUUUUAAUUGAUCUGGUAAGGGUGCAAAGGUGCGGUAAGAGCGCACCAGCAGUAUCGAGAGGUGCUGGCUCG
rnacentral:RNase_P_RNA from 1 species